UACAGAGGGGGCAAGCGUUAUUCGGAAUUAUUGGGCGUAAAGGGCGCGUAGGCGGCCUGGCAAGUGGAAGGUGAAAUCCCUCGGCUUAACCGAGGAACUGCCUCCGAAACUGCUUGGCUUGAGACCGGGAGAGGUGAGUGGAAUUCCCAGUGUAGCGGUGAAAUGCGUAGAGAUCAGCAGGAACACCCGUGGCGAAGGCGGCCCCCUGGGCCGUACCUGACGCUGAGGCGCGAAGGCUAGGGGAGCGAACGGG
rnacentral:rRNA from 1 species